UACGGAGGGUGCAAGCGUUACUCGGAAUCACUGGGCGUAAAGAGCGCGUAGGCGGGGCAAUAAGUCAGGUGUGAAAUCCUGUAGCUUAACUACAGAAUGGCAUUUGAAACUGUUGCUCUAGAGUGUGGGAGAGGUAGGUGGAAUUCUUGGUGUAGGGGUAAAAUCCGUAGAGAUCAAGAGGAAUACUCAUUGCGAAGGCGACCUGCUGGAACAUUACUGACGCUGAUGUGCGAAAGCGUGGGGAGCAAACA
rnacentral:rRNA from 1 species